GCAGAUCAUUUUUUUUGAACGACCAAUAGAUGCUUGUUUAAGGGAACAGGAACACAUCAUACCACUACCUUUUGAAGAGUUAUAAGAGCGCCCUCUUUUUUCCUCUUCGUCUCCUUCUCUUCUUCCCUUCCUCCGCCACAAGAUGCAGGCUCUCACCAAUGGUUUUCACCACCAUGCCGCCCUCUAAGCUCUCACAAUUGCCAUCUCGCCAAGCCACUUUUACUCCCCACCCUCUCUCACUCCCUCUUCUCUUCUCCCCAUCCUCUCACCCUUUUGUUCUUGUCUCACCAUCAAUGUCUUCUUCCCGAGGUUGAAUGGGGUCUCUCGCAAGGAUG
rnacentral:lncRNA from 1 species